rnacentral:lncRNA from 1 species
UUUUUUUUUUUUUUUUUUGGUGUGUGUGGAACACCACUGGUCGGUACAGAAAACAAAAAAUAAAAGAUUCCAAGAAACGUAGUUUAACAGCGGCGGAGAGAAGGAAAAAAAGGGGUCGGUGACUCAGUUCCUUCCAGAUUUUGGAUUUCGAGUCUCCUUUUAUCUCGGUUUUUUUUUGGUGUGUGUGGAACACCACUGGUCGGUACAGAUUCCAAGAAACGUAGUAGUUUAACAGCGGCGGAGAGAAGGAAAAAAAGGGGUCGGUGACUCAGUUCCUUCCAGAUUUUGGAUUUCGAGUCUCCUUUUAUCUCGGUUUUUAUCACCCGCUCGUUAGUCAUUGAUUGGCUCUUUAAAACCCUAAUUGAGUUCUCAAACCUAAACUCAAAAUCCUCGUAAAUUCCAGGUUAUUUUACAGGCCGAUCUCAAACGGGCAAUCUAAAGUACGUAGUUCAAACUAAUUUUGUUCAUAGCUGUGUUGUUACGGUAUUCUAGCGACGGAAAUACAUUCACGAUGAUUGUGAUUAUGCUAGCUAAUAUUUUAAUUUUUCUCAAAAUUCCCUUUUGUUGUCAAGUUGUUAUGUGGUUUUAUCAAAACUGGCCGCGUCUGAGAACUCAUGGCAAAAGAUAUGCAAUGGAAAAUCAGGGGUAUUCCAUAAUGAUCUUUGAAUCUUAUUUUGAAGAUUUCCCCAACUGCAAAUAAUUCUGUUUAUCUUUUUUUUUUUUUUUCCUUUUCUUUUCUUCAUGUUCCUGGUCCGAUUUCCUGUUAUUAUAAGGUCUUACUCCUAUUAGUUUUGCUAUCGAGGUAACAUCUUAUGUUGCUGUAAGUAUUGGACGAACGAGAAAUUCUUCUGCUACGGUAUGCGUAUUGCCAUGGUAUGCUAUUAGCAAUUUUAGGAGAAGGAAAGAGAAUAGAACUUGGCUAUCGGCAUUCAUAUACAUACAUACAUGCGCGCGCGCGCACACAUAUACAUACACACACAUGGUACAUAUCUCUUCAUUUUUCAGAUGCCAGAAUGGCAGUAUGCCAUUGAAGAACAGAUCAAGGAUCCAACUUACCAAUCACAGAGUACUGUAGAGCAAAGAUUAGAUUUCCAAGCAUGACUAAUUAGAGAAUACAUGCUUGUCAAGUGUAUAAACCAUGUUUUCUAACAUGUAGACAUUCUAGCAUCCACGAUUGCAUAGUAUGCUAGCAUAUGAUGAUAUUAUUUUUACAAUCAAACUGACAAAUCAUGAUUGUCAACUAUGUAUGCACCGAAAAAUUCGCUCUCAUUAAUUUAUUUUGCUUGUCAGGAUAGUACCUGCCUUAAUUUAGUAUACUGCAAUGCGGGAGGGAGAUUGCUGAAGUUGUGGAUGGUUUUGUGGAUGAAGAAAUGGAGGCCUUACAGAAUGACAAGGUUAGAAACAGAAAGAACAUAUCGAGGAAAGACGGAGAAGGAAGAGGGGCAAUGGAGAGUACUUCUUUCAAAGAUCUUCACGAAAGUAUCGUAUUUGGCAUUCUCGUUAAAGUUCCACCUAGUUAUGUUUACAAGAACGGAAGGCUUGUUUGCCGAGCAUGGAGAGAUCUUAUCUCCAGAGAUGAUUUCAUUGUCCAGAAUUUUAUGGAAACCAAGGCGGAAUUACUAGUGGGAGGGCCAACCUCCAGAAGAAAUGGAUAUUUCGAAGUAAAGCUGAUGGAAGUAGAAGGGGCACUGCAGCUUGAUUGUAAGCUACGAGAUUGUGGACUGUGUCGAAUGGGUCGUCCCAGGUCCAGCUGCAAUGGCUUGCUGCUGCUGAAUCACCCAAAGGAGGAAGGGUUGCUGCAAGUGAUGAAUUUAAUAACCACGGUUGGUUUAACACUUCCAAAGUGCCCUUCGGGCUGUCGGCACAAAGCUUGUGGAUCAGCACUUGGUUUUGACCCCAAUAAGAAGGAAUACAAAGUGAUUCACAUGUACGCUGAUUCUUUCGGCUUUGAAAUCUUUAACUUGGCCGGUCCUCCAGAUGCGGCAUGGAGAAUAAUUCCCGGGCCUUGGGAAGGAUUGCAGGAGAGGCCUUAUGACUUUGAACGGUUUUCCUGGAGUGACCCCAUAUCCGUGAAUGGAAGAGUUUUGCAUUGGCAUGUUGCUUCAAACGAGUACAUCAUCUCAAUGGAUGUGAGCGAAGAGAUUUCAACCAAAACAUAUCUUCCCAAUAUCAGCGAGGAGAUAGAGAGUUAUAAGUAUACUUUGGCGGAAUUGGGCGGGUAUCUUUCUUUUGUGUAUGCCUUGUCCGACAUCCAAGUUGAUAUCUGGAUUCUGGAUGACUGCUUUAGAGGACAGAUUUGGUCAAAGAAACAUAGCAUUCAAUUGGAUUUGAUAAAGUACGUGACGCCAGAGAACUCUUUGCUACCCGCUAACCAUGCCAAUGCUUUGCCAAAUCUUAGCAAACUCGUUGCUGUUGCUGGUCGAGGUUGUGACAUAUUGAUCCUGAAGCAUGAAAACUCUUGCUUGUACAUAUAUGACAUGAAACACAGAGUGAUGAAGAAAUUUAAGAUGAAUAUGAAGAAUCCCAUGUACUUCAUACCUCACAGAAGCAGCCUUCUGCACUGGCGGAAUUCCUGAGACUCGGGUCCUAGUUUCUUGGCUGAUUGUAGUCAUUUCAUUGUUGUGUUCCUCUAUUUUUUAGCAGUAGCGUUUGUUUAUUUUCGAGCAAUUCCAUUCUUUUCUUCCUAAAAUACGAUGAACUACUACUAUGAUACCAUAAUGAAAACAACGCAAAAUCUUUUUUGUUUUCAUGAAAACAACAAAAAGUCAAAGCCUGGAAGCUCAAACCAUACGCAUCUUUGUCAGUGACAUCAGUCUACCGAGUCCCGACUUGCUUGCACUCAAAACUAGGCCAAACGAAUUCGUACAAGGCGCAGGGACCGCCCUCGGCAUUGUUGUGACGCGGGGCUCACCAUCUCCCUGUCAAUCAGUUUUUGGCUUACUAAUAAAGAGAGAUCCGCUUGCACUCGUCAAUUAGUAGUAGUGGUUCCAUUUGUUUUUUUACGAGUAAAGCAAUAAAGCGUUUAAUCAAUGGCUAUGGCUUUGAUAAAGAGAAAUGCGUUUGACAUUCACACAUUUUGGGGGCCUCGUAUAAUAGUUUUGCAAACUUUGGGAGCAAACGUAUACAUACACCAACAUCCGUAGCUCUGUACCCAUAAAUCUACUCUUUCUCUUAUGUAUUGUCAGGGCUGCGCCACCCGCCAUUGGUCGCUCCGCCUCUGCACGCAACGGCUGUUAAUAAAGAAAUCUACAUGAUUAGCUGGUUCCUGAUAUGCGUAAUUAUUGAGUUUCCGUAGGGGGACUCUUUAUCUAUUGCGUGUUGGGUUAGUCGCUCCUUUUUUAUUUUGUAUUUUUUGGGUUAGUGCUCUAUUUCACCUUUCAUAAUCACAGUGCAUCAACAAGAAGGGGAGGUCGCGCGAUCCGUCCAAGGGACAAAGGCAUCUACUCCAUCAACUACAACCCACCUUCAAUCAAGAAUUCCAUAAAGAUGUCGUUGUCGGACCAGCAUGUGUUCAAUUACAGCCUCAUCUUCUUCCUCGUCAUCACACCACCUACCAUCAUCGCCCUGCGCUACCUCACCGCCCCCUACGGCAAGCACCAGCGCCCUGGUUGGGGCCCCACCAUUCCGGCCCCUCUAGCCUGGUUCCUCAUGGAGAGCCCCACCCUCUGGCUCACCCUCCUCCUCUUCCCUUUUGGCAAGAACCACUCCAACCCGACUGCCCAAAUCCUCAUUCUCCCCUAUCUCAUCCACUACUUCCACCGCACCGUCAUCUACCCCUUGACGCUCUUCCUCAAGACCACCCGUAGCCAUCGCGGAAAAAACAAUCUUGAUUCUCGGGCUGGCCAGAAAGCCGCCGCAUUUCCCGUCAGCGUCGCCGCGAUGGCGUUUGCUUUCAAUCUUCUGAAUGCUUAUUUGCAGACGAGGUGGGUGUCUCAUUACGCCGACUACGAGGGGGACCGAUGGUUCUGGUGGCGGUUCGCCAGCGGCCUGGUGGUUUUCGUGGUGGGUAUGGCGGUGAACUUGAGAUCGGAUUAUGCGUUAUUGGGCCUCAAGAGCCGAGGCGGGGGCGGAUAUAAGAUACCCAGAGGAGGGUGUUUCGAGCUAGUGAGCUGCCCAAAUUAUUUUGGGGAGAUAUUGGAGUGGUUGGGCUGGGCUUUGAUGACUUGGUCCUGGGCGGGUUUCGUGUUUCUGUUGUAUACUUGUGCGAACUUGGUGCCCAGGGCUGCUUCAAAUCACAAGUGGUACCUGGACAAGUUUGGGGAAGAUUAUCCUAAACACAGAAAAGCUGUUAUUCCCUGCGUGUUUUGAUGUACAGCGUCUUCCCAAGCCGAAUUUGACUUUGUAAUACGAUCAGAACUGCAAGAUCCAGAUCCAGAUCCAGAUUUGUUCGCAUUAACCUUUCAAGCAAUGGGGUUUUGGUACUCUAGCUUCCAAUUUCUAAUCCUUGAUUCGCCUUUUUCUGUUCCAGCGUUAACCAGUUGCUUCUUGAUGUUCUGGAAUAAAAAUCACAAUUCCUACAAGUAAAGAACUACCUACAAAACUUGAAUACAAAAUGAUGGAAAUACUUGAAUACAAAACUACCUACAAGUAAAGAACCAAAAUGAUGGAACAGAAACGAUAAGGAUUUUUUCUUUCCUCUUUUUUUUUUUCCAAAAAACAUUUUAGAGUACCAGGAAAUAUCAUACAACAGCGGGAUGAAGAGUAUAAUCACGAGAGAAUACGAAAUGCCUUGAAAAUUUAUUUGCCAAAUAGAUUUAGUCUGAAUGAAGAAGUUCAUGAUUACAAUACUCCCCCGGGUCCUAUUAGGGCUUUUUCAAGAUGUACAUCUCGAAUUCGGUUUGCCCCAUACUUUCAGGGUAACGUAAACCAUGCUACUAGCUUUUGGAUAAAUUUAACGCAUGCUUCUCCUUAAAUAGUUUUAUACAAUGACUCGCGUUCAACUAC